GGGCAUGUAGUGUAGGGGUUAUCGCGUUCGCUUCGCAUUCCGCUAUAGUUGGCGAGUCGAUUGUGAAAGGUCCUCGGUUCAAUUCCGAGCUUGUCCA